ACUGGUCAGAUGGGACCUGCUGCAAUGAUGCAAUUGGAUGGAGCAGAUAGGAAGUGUACCAGUCCCACAGACUGGCCAGCCACUCCAGCACAGAUAAGGGGCUGGAUGUAGCGGCUGCCAGAGUACGUCUGUAGUGACAACAAAGGCACCAGAAUAGUGUCUGCAAUGCAGCCCUUGGUACCGAGGGUGAAACUAGACAGAGCACAGGGAGCCACACAGCAGUGCUGCACCAGCAUUUGGACAUAUCUUAUAUCCUCUGGGUAGGCUGGAGCUUUAACACUGACUUACUUCAGCUGGGUUUGAAAUAAUUCCUUGAGCGCUACUGUUGACCAAAAAUGACCCCAAUCACAAGUAACAGCUAAUACCAUGACAUUGUUGGCUAUCGAACCUGGCACCGCCUACGAGAAGGGAGCAUAAACAAAUGAGAAGAGAAGAGGGCUAAGGGCUAAGCUAAGGCUAACUCCUCAUUGGCUAUCUCUACCCAGCAUUUUCCUCACCAAUGUACAGUCUCUGGUGAACAACAUGGAUGAACUGGGACUGCAGAUCACCACUCAUAAAAGGAUUAUGGACUGCAACGUAAUGAUUUUUAUGGAAACGUGGCUUAAUAGCUGCAUCCCCAAUAGUGCCAUUGAGCUACCGGGGUGCUACAUCCUCAGGGCGGAUACAACAGCUAAUGACUCCAGAAAGACCAGAGGUGGGGCAUGGGGACUGUGCAUUUAUGUUAGCAAAGGUUGGUGCACGGACAAUGCCAUUGAGAGGCACGACUCUGCUAACCUAGAGUUUACAACUGUUGUGACUGCAGCAUACACCCCCCUGGAUGUUAAUACUAAGCUUGCAAUGAAAGAAUUGUAGCAUGCUAUGAUGUAGUUCUAAGAACAUGAUAUAUUUUAAAUGUUUAUUCAUGCAUUUAUAAACAUCUAUAAGCAUUUGUGUGACACAUCCAUUACUGGUAAAUACAUAAUUAAUGAAUGGUUAGUAUCAUAUGACAGAUCACAUAUAAGGAUAAAUAUGUGGGUCAUGACACCUAUAAACUGGUUUAACCCUAACCCACCAAUUAAUUAUUAUACAUGUGUAUGAAUGGUUAAUUAAUUCUUUAUAAACAUACUGUAAAUGUGUUGUAUGCCUACAUAUAAAUAUUUCAGUUAUAAUUCGUUAAUAAAGAGAGGCAGUUGCGGAAAA